UGUGUGUGUCUAUAUAUACUCUCCUCUAUUGCAUAUAUAUACAUACAUAACAUUGCAUUUUGAGAAUUUGGUGUUCAUGUUCAAGUGUUUCCAUCCAUCAGCUGUG